UCUGCCUCUGUGGUGGAUAGUGGAGAGUUUCCCAUGUGGUAUUGGUGUGCUGGAUAUCCCUUCCCUGGUAGCCUGGUAACAUACACUCCCAGGUCUUUCUCUGCCUCUGUGGUGGAUAGUGGAGUGUUUCCCAUGUGGUAUUGGUGUGCUGGAUAUCCCUUCACUGGUAGCCUGGUAACAUACACUCCCAGGUCUUUCUCUGCCUCUGUGGUGGAUAGUGGAGUGUUUCCCAUGUGGUAUUGGUGUGCUGGAUAUCCCUUCACUGGUAGCCUGGUAACAUACACUCACAGGUCUUUCUCUGCCUCUGUGGUGGAUAGUGGAGUGUUUCCCAUGUGGUAUUGGUGUGCUGGAUAUCCCUUCACUGGUAGCCUGGUAACAUACACUCACAGGUCUUUCUCUGCCUCUGUGGUGGAUAGUGGAGUGUUUCCCAUGUGGUAUUGGUGUGCUGGAUAUCCCUUCACUGGUAGCCUGGUAACAUACACUCCCAGGUCUUUCUCUGCCUCUGUGGUGGAUAGUGGAGUGUUUCCCAUGUGGUAUUGGUGUGCUGGAUAUCCCUUCACUGGUAGCCUGGUAACAUACACUCCCAGGUCUUUCUCUAACUGUGGUGGAUAGUGGAGUGUUUCCCAUGUGGUAUUGGUGUGCUGGAUAUCCCUUCACUGGUAGCCUGGUAACAUACACUCCCAGGUCUUUCUCUAACUGUGGUGGAUAGUGGAGUGUUUCCCAUGUGGUAUUGGUGUGCUGGAUAUCCCUUCACUGGUAGCCUGGUAACAUACACUCCCAGGUCUUUCUCUGCCUCUGUGGUGGAUAGUGGAGUGUUUCCCAUGUGGUAUUGGUGUGCUGGAUAUCCCUUCACUGGUAGCCUGGUAACAUACACUCCCAGGUCUUUCUCUGCCUCUGUGGUGGAUAGUGGAGUGUUUCCCAUGUGGUAUUGGUGUGCUGGAUAUCCCUUCACUGGUAGCCUGGUAACAUACACUCCCAGGUCUUUCUCUGCCUCUGUGGUGGAUAGUGGAGAGUUUCCCAUGUGGUAUUGGUAUGCUGGAUAUCCCUUCACUGGUAGCCUGGUAACAUACACUCCCAGGUCUUUCUCUGCCUCUGUGGUGGAUAGUGGAGUGUUUCCCAUGUGGUAUUGGUGUGCUGGAUAUCCCUUCACUGGUAGCCUGGUAACAUACACUCCCAGGUCUUUCUCUGCCUCUGUGGUGGAUAGUGGAGUGUUUCCCAUGUGGUAUUGGUGUGCUGGAUAUCCCUUCACUGGUAGCCUGGUAACAUACACUCCCAGGUCCUUCUCUGCCUCUGUGGUGGAUAGUGGAGUGUUUCCCAUGUGGUAUUGGUGUGCUGGAUAUCCCUUCACUGGUAGCCUGGUAAGAUACACUCCCAGGUCUUUCUCUGCCUCUGUGGUGGAUAGUGGAGUGUUUCCCAUGUGGUAUUGGUGUGCUGGAUAUCCCUUCACUGGUAGCCUGGUAACAUACACUCCCAGGUCUUUCUCUGCCUCUGUGGUGGAUAGUGGAGUGUUUCCCAUGUGGUAUUGGUGUGCUGGAUAUCCCUUCACUGGUAGCCUGGUAGCAUACACUCCCAGGUCUUUCUCUGCCUCUGUGGUGGAUAGUGGAGUGUUUCCCAUGUGGUAUUAGUGUGCUGGAUAUCCCUUCACUGGUAGCCUGGUAACAUACACUCCCAGGUCUUUCUCUGCCUCUGUGGUGGAUAGUGGAGUGUUUCCCAUGUGGUAUUGGUGUGCUGGAUAUCCCUUCACUGGUAGCCUGGUAACAUACACUCCCAGGUCUUUCUCUGCCUCUGUGGUGGAUAGUGGAGUGUUUCCCAUGUGGUAUUAGUGUGCUGGAUAUCCCUUCACUGGUAGCCUGGUAACAUACACUCCCAGGUCUUUCUCUGCCUCUGUGGUGGAUAGUGGAGUGUUUCCCAUGUGGUAUUGGUGUGCUGGAUAUCCCUUCACUGGUAGCCUGGUAAGAUACACUCCCAGGUCUUUCUCUGCCUCUGUGGUGGAUAGUGGAGUGUUUCCCAUGUGGUAUUGGUGUGCUGGAUAUCCCUUCACUGGUAGCCUGGUAACACACACUCCCAGGUCUUUCUCUGCCUCUGUGGUGGGUAGGGGAGUGUUUCCCAUGUGGUAUUGGUGUGCUGGAUAUCCCUUCACUGGUAGCCUGGUAACACACACUCCCAGGUCUUUCUCUGCCUCUGUGGUGGAUAGUGGAGUGUUUCCCAUGUGGUAUUGGUGUGCUGGAUAUCCCUUCACUGGUAGCCUGGUAAGAUACACUCCCAGGUCUUUCUCUGCCUCUGUGGUGGAUAGUGGAGUGUUUCCCAUGUGGUAUUGGUGUGCUGGAUAUCCCUUCACUGGUAGCCUGGUAAGAUACACUCCCAGGUCUUUCUCUGCCUCUGUGGUGGAUAGUGGAGUGUUUCCCAUGUGGUAUUGGUGUGCUGGAUAUCCCUUCACUGGUAGCCUGGUAAGAUACACUCCCAGGUCUUUCUCUGCCUCUGUGGUGGAUAGUGGAGUGUUUCCCAUGUGGUAUUGGUGUGCUGGAUAUCCCUUCACUGGUAGCCUGGUAACAUACACUCCCAGGUCUUUCUCUGCCUCUGUGGUGGAUAGUGGAGUGUUUCCCAUGUGGUAUUGGUGUGCUGGAUAUCCCUUCACUGGUAGCCUGGUAACACACACUCCCAGGUCUUUCUCUGCCUCUGUGGUGGAUAGUGGAGUGUUUCCCAUGUGGUAUUGGUGUGCUGGAUAUCCCUUCACUGGUAGCCUGGUAAGAUACACUCCCAGGUCUUUCUCUGCCUCUGUGGUGGAUAGUGGAGUGUUUCCCAUGUGGUAUUGGUGUGCUGGAUAUCCCUUCACUGGUAGCCUGGUAACAUACACUCCCAGGUCUUUCUCUGCCUCUGUGGUGGGUAGUGGAGUGUUUCCCAUGUGGUAUUGGUGUGCUGGAUAUCCCUUCACUGGUAGCCUGGUAACAUACACUCCCAGGUCUUUCUCUGCCUCUGUGGUGGAUAGUGGAGUGUUUCCCAUGUGGUAUUGGUGUGCUGGAUAUCCCUUCACUGGUAGCCUGGUAACAUACACUCCCAGGUCUUUCUCUGCCUCUGUGGUGGAUAGUGGAGUGUUUCCCAUGUGGUAUUGGUGUGCUGGAUAUCCCUUCACUGGUAGCCUGGUAACAUACACUCCCAGGUCUUUCUCUGCCUCUGUGGUGGAUAGUGGAGUGUUUCCCAUGUGGUAUUGGUGUGCUGGAUAUCCCUUCACUGGUAGCCUGGUAACAUACACUCCCAGGUCUUUCUCUGCCUCUGUGGUGGAUAGUGGAGUGUUUCCCAUGUGGUAUUGGUGUGCUGGAUAUCCCUUCACUGGUAGCCUGGUAACAUACACUCCCAUGUCUUUCUCUGCCUCUGUGGUGGAUAGUGGAGUGUUUCCCAUGUGGUAUUGGUGUGCUGGAUAUCCCUUCACUGGUAGCCUGGUAACAUACACUCCCAGGUCUUUCUCUGCCUCUGUGGUGGAUAGUGGAGAGUUUCCCAUGUGGUAUUGGUGUGCUGGAUAUCCCCUCCCAAGGUGCAGGACUUUACAUUUUUCUUCACUGAAUUGUACCAGUCACUUUUUGAUCCAUUUCUGUAGCUUGGUGAGAUCUUUUCAUAAUUUUUCAUUUUUUCAUAAUUUCAUAAUUUUACGACAACUUUUUGUAAUUUUACGAUUUUGUAUGAGGUCAUUUAAUUCAGCGAAAUAUGACCAGUGCAAUUGCGGUCCCAUGAUUUUAAUCCAGUCAAUCAGUCUGUCAAUCUCUCCUUUUCCAGUCCCCUCGAUUCUUAAAAACACAUUCUCUCUCUCUCUGUCUCUCUGUGUUCUUCCAUUCUUCCACCCCUCCACUAACCAUCUCCCCCUUCCACAGUUUGGUUGCUGGUGCGGUUGAGGUUGCUGCCACGAUCGCAAGCAAGUCCCCAGUGGCUGUCCAAACCUCAAAGAUCGCGUUGGUGUACUCACGAGACCACACCGUUGAGGAGGGACUGGACUACAUGGCCAAGAUGAACAGCCUGAUGCUACAGAGUGAAGACCUUCGCAUUGCUGCCAUGGCCCUGAUGAGCAAGGGAGAGACCAAGCCACUCUUCUCCAAGCUGUAAGAGGAGAGAGAGAGAGAGGAGGAGGAAGAAGAAAGAAAGGAGGAGGACACUGGUUAAGAAGAAACAAGAAGAAGAAGAAGAGGAGGAGGAAGAAGAGAAAGAGAGGAGGCAGAGGAAGACAUUGGUAAAGAAGGAGAAGAGGAAGACUUGAUGAAGAGAAGGCGGAAGAGGAGGAGGAAGAGUGAGAGAGGAUAGGAACAUAAGGAAAACUAUUAAGAUGUAAAUGAUCAAAGGAAAUUCAAUAAUAUACAAGAUACAUUUUUUAUUAGUGCAGAAAACACACCUUAUAUACACCCUUUCAAACAGCAACACAUUGAUUAAGGAGAGUCUACCCUUAGCCCUGUCCAAGCAAGCUAUAGAACACUGCUUUUUCAAACUAGUAUGACAGCACAUUAAGAAACUAUACUAAUAUUACUGCUGUAGGAGGGGGGCAGGGGUGUGUGGUUACUGGUGGUGUCUGGGGCUGUACUGGUGACUCGUGUUCUCUUCAGUGCAGGGGGGCAGGGGUGUGUUAUGCCUGGUACUGGUGGCUGGUCCACUGAUGUCCCUCCUCCUGUAACUCCACAAGCCUCUAGAGUUGGCGUUCCCUGGGGUUGGGGUCCCUGGGGUUGGGGUCUCUUGGGUUGGGGUCUCUUGGGUUGGGGUCUCUUGGGUUGGGGUCUCUGGGGUUAGUGUCCCUGGGGUUGGGGUCUCUUGGGUUGCCGAGCACUCACGUCUGGAGAAAAAAUUAAUGCUUAGAUUCUUGUAUGAUAUCUCUGGUCCUCUUAUGCAAAUUCCUCCUCCUCCUUCUUCUUCUUUCCUCUCUUCCUUCUAUUAAUUGCUAUGUUAUGUUAUGUUAUGUCACUCUGUAUUCAAUUUCUCCUCCUCCUCUUCCUUCUUUCCUUCCAUAUAUCCUUCUCAGUUCUUGUUAUCCUGUGUUUCCCUUCCUUCCUUCCUUCCUUCCUCUGUUAUGUCUGUUCCUUCCUUCUCUCUUCUAAUCUUUCCUUCCUUUCUUCCUUCCCUCCUGUCUGAUCUUUCUCUCUUUCCUUCCUGUUAUGUCUGUUCCUUCCUUC